UGGGGGAUAUUGCACAAUGGAGGAAACUCUGAUGCAGCAACGCCGCGUGAAGGAAGAAGGUCUUCGGAUUGUAAACUUCUGUUCUUAGUGACGAAACAAAUGACGGUAGCUAAGGAGAAAGCCACGGCUAACUACGUGCCAGCAGCCGCGGUAAUACGUAGGUGGCGAGCGUUGUCCGGAAUUACUGGGUGUAAAGGGUGCGCAGGCGGGACUGCAAGUUGGAUGUGAAAUACCGAGGCUUAACCUCGGAGCUGCAUCCAAAACUGUGGUUCUUGAGUGAAGUAGAGGUAGGCGGAAUUCCGAGUGUAGCGGUGAAAUGCGUAGAUAUUCGGAGGAACACCAGUGGCGAAGGCGGCCUACUGGGCUUUAACUGACGCUGAGGCACGAAAGUAUGGGGAGCAAACAGG
rnacentral:rRNA from 1 species